UACGUAGGAUCCGAGCGUUGUCCGGAUUUACUGGGUGUAAAGGGUGCGCAGGCGGACUGGUAAGUCAGUGGUGAAAUCUCGUCGCUUAACGACGAAACUGCCUUUGAUACUAUCAUUCUUGAAUCCGGUAGAGAUCUGUGGAAUUCCGAGUGUAGCAGUGAAAUGUGUAGAUAUUCGGAAGAACACCAGUGGCGAAGGCAGCAGAUUGGGCCGGUAUUGACGCUCAGGCACGAAAGCAUGGGGAUCAAACAGG
rnacentral:rRNA from 1 species